rnacentral:snoRNA from 1 species
GUGAUGACCUAGCGCCGCCGCACUGUAAAGAUGAAGAAGGCCGUUUUUCUGA